ACUUAAGUAGUUUAAAGAAAAUUAUGAUUUGUGGUAUCAUAGAUAUAAGUAUUUAUCUUAGGUU
rnacentral:tRNA from 1 species